UUUUCUUUUCUGUACGUCGUAGAAUUUUGCCUGGGUGGCAGAAAUGGACGCUUUGUAAUGGUUGUUUAAAAAUGGAUAGAAGUGUAUGGUUGGAUAUAUCUUACUCAAUAAUUAAUAUAUAUAAAGAGAAAUCUGAUCAUAAAAUAUUAGAAUUUCUUAGUUGUUCCGAAGAUCCUGCAAUUGUCUAUAGUUACCUGCACCAUCACUUAUCGUUAUUAGUAAAUUUGUUUUUUGAGAGUGAUGAAAUAUUAACAAAAGUAAAACGACGUAAAAUUCAUACUUUGGUAGUUAAUAUUUUUUUUUCUACUAUUGCGAGACAUGGUAAGAACGAAGCAAUACUUAAAGAAAUAAUGGAUAAUUAUAAUAAGAUAUUGUAUAACCAAUAUUUUAAUAUGGAUCUCUCGCUAGUAAUAAAUAUGAACGCAACAUUAAUAGUAAUGAUUAACAAUGCAUAUUCCCAGAAGCAACUUUACGAGAUACAAAAAUUUGCAAUUCAUAAUCAGCAUUUUACUUUGAGUGUUAAAAACAAGUUAAAGGCACGUUCUGAAAAACUGUUCAGUCAGAUGAAAUUUUAUGAAGAUAUGUAUGCAAAGACUGCAAAGCUUUAAUAGAUCUAUAUCCGCUAAAAAUUUAACUUCAAUAAAUACACCAACAAUAUUUCAAUUAACGAACUGUUUAUACAUACCUAUAUACAAUAAUAUUAUGUGUACUGUUUUUAUGU